CAGUGAGGGACUGCAGUGCGGGCUGGGGGAGGCAGGCUUUGGGGGGCUGGAGCAUUGGGGGCCGCAGGGUUUGGGGUCUCCUGGGGCUUUGGGAUUGUGCAGGAGGUCUGUAGGUGGGCUGGGGUGUGGCUGCUCCCUGAGGAGGUGUUGGGCCCAGAGCAGGGGGAGAGCAGAGAGGGGCCCGUGCAGUGUAAGGGGUGAGGUGUGUGGUGGGGAGGGGGCUGCAGGGCCAGCCCCAGGGCCAGCAGCCAGAGCAGGAUGUGUUUUUGCUGUGACUGUCCCAGAGCUUUGUGUGUGACAGGGUUUCCUGCCGGGGCUCAGCCCCACAUGGUGACACGGGUGGGACUCGGUGCUUCCAUUCCUGAGGUGAGGGAGCACCAGGUGAUUCUGCAGGAUGGUGAGAGCUGCUCUUGCAGUUUGGUAAUUCCUGUGUGGUCUUUUUGGGUUAUCACAGAAUCAGAGGGGUUUGGGCUGAAAGGGACCAUGGAGACCAUCUCCUUCCACCCUCUGCCAUGGGCAGGGACACCUUCCACUAUCCCAGCUUGCCCCAAGCCCAGUUCAGCCUGGCUUUGAAUAUGUCCACAGCUUCUCUGGGCACCCUGUUCCAGGGCCUCCCACCCUCCCUAAUACCCCAAUACCCCGUCUAACCCUUCCCUGUGCCUCUUGAAACCAUUCCCCCUUGUCCUGGCUCUUGUAAAAAUUUCCCCUCCAGCUUUCCUGUAGGUUAUAGAAAGCAGUUGUGCCUAACUGGAUGAUGAACAUGAAUAAAAUCCAUUUUUCAAAGUUAA